UCCUCCAGAAGGGAAAAAAAAAAAAAAAAAAGUUAGAAAGAAUGCUGAGGCAGAGCUACAGGUUCACAAGAUGAGGUGGCUACUGCAAGCAGUGACAUUUCUGGGGACUAACAUGGGCCCAAGGAGCACCCCAGCAGGCUGGCUGACUGCUCCAGCAGCACAGAAAGCUACCAUGCUUACACCCUCUCCUCCCACCGAUUGAUUCUCAAAACUGGGAAUAACUUGAAGGCUUUUUCCAACACUGUGCUUGCGCAGAUUUGCUCAGGUGACAGCUGGGGGAUGUGGAAACCAGUCAUCAGGAGAUGUUCACAUUGCACUGGAGUUCUUCAGACAUGAAUAGCUGAUAAACAGCAUCACCGUUAAGGUAGACAGUGAUCAUCCUCAUUUCUCUUCUCUGACACCCUUCUUCUGGCUGGGCCCACCUCUUGCUCCAGUGGGUGGACACCCAUCUUGUUCCAGUUCUGGGGAUGUUUUCAGCUUUCUUCGCCAUGGGGGAAGCACGUUUGCUGCCUGCUCUCUUUGGCAGCAUACACCCACACAGAAGGGACAAUGGAGCGAAGGUGGCAGAGAGCUGGCUCCAGCCUACAAGGACAUCCCACAGCGAGAUUUGCCCACAGUGCAUGCAUAUCUAGAAAGGAAGAAGGGCGGAAGUGCCCAGCUCCACGGUGGCUGGCAGAGUUGGCAGCCCCAGGCUGCCCCCAGUACUGCUGAACCUGCAGGACUGCCAUCCAGCAGCACCAGGCAGGAGCUGGCCUCGAGCCCUGCACAGUGCCCAGAGCCCUGCACAGUGCCCAGUGCAGCCAGAUGGGCUCCUGCCAUGGUGUAGAUCACUGAUUUGUUUUUAACUGUUUAAAAAUUAAGUGCAUCCUCAACCUUUUAGUUACCCUUGUUUGUUUGCUUUGCUCUGCUAGUAAAUACUAAACAUUUUAAAUGGGUUUGCAAGGUACUGCCUAACAGCAAGUGUGGUCACUGCUGUGCUGUGCAUUAAUAAUUUAAAAACCCUGGAAUAAAAAUGAAGCCUAUA
rnacentral:lncRNA from 1 species